rnacentral:rRNA from 1 species
AGUGAACGCUGGCGGUAGGCCUAACACAUGCAAGUCGAACGGCAGCACAGUAAGAGCUUGCUCUUACGGGUGGCGAGUGGCGGACGGGUGAGGAAUACAUCGGAAUCUACUUUUUCGUGGGGGAUAACGUAGGGAAACUUACGCUAAUACCCCAUAUGACCUACGGGUGAAAGCAGGGGAUCUUCGGACCUUGCGCGAUUGAAUGAGCCGAUGUCGGAUUAGCUAGUUGGCGGGGUAAAGGCCCACCAAGGCGACGAUCCGUAGCUGGUCUGAGAGGAUGAUCAGCCACACUGGAACUGAGACACGGUCCAGACUCCUACGGGAGGCAGCAGUGGGGAAUAUUGGACAAUGGGCGCAAGCCUGAUCCAGCCAUACCGCGUGGGUGAAGAAGGCCUUCGGGUUGUAAAGCCCUUUUGUUGGGAAAGAAAAGCAGCAGGUUAAUACCCCGCUGUUCUGACGGUACCCAAAGAAUAAGCACCGGCUAACUUCGUG